rnacentral:tRNA from 1 species
CUGGGCCAUAGCCAAGCGGUAAGGCAACGGACUUUGACUCCGUGAUGCGCUGGUUCGAAUCCAGCUGGCCCAGCCC